rnacentral:tRNA from 2 species
GGAGAGAUGGCCGAGCGGUUGAAGGCGGUUGAUUCGAAAUCAACUGUACCUACGGGUACCGGGGGUUCAAAUCCCUCUCUCUCCGCCA